rnacentral:rRNA from 1 species
GCUUACGGCCAUACCACCUGGCUAUGCCGAUCUCGUCUGAUCUCGGAAGCUAAGCAGGUUUUGGGCCUGGUUAGUAACUUGGAUGGGAGACCGCCUGGGAAUACCAGGUGCUGUAAGCU